GAAUAUAUUAAUUAAUUUUUCUUUUUUUCUAAAAAGAAUAGAAUAAACAAUUAACUUUUCUUCCUAAGGCAACUAAGAUUAAUUAUUGUGCUCGGACAGAAAAGUAUGAACAUUUUCGUAGAACCGCACAAUGAAAUAAGCUCUUGCAGCAUAGAAUCACAGCGAGUAUAUUUCAUUUGCGGUGGAACUAAAUAGAUUUUUGUAUGAUAGCGUGGAACGCCUUCAGUUCUUGGUCGCUGGGGGCAGUAUUAAUCUGAGAAUAACCUUAUAAAUGUAGCAUUCGUUCCCUCUUUGGUAAUACUAUUCCCUAAUUAAUUCAAAGAUACAUACAACAUACACACACAAACUGCCUGCCCCUUAAUAUAAAAACGUGAUAUUGGUCUAAUGGGUCUAACUAAUGACUAAU